rnacentral:rRNA from 1 species
CCUACGGGUGGCUGCAGUGGGGAAUAUUGGACAAUGGGCGAAAGCCUGAUCCAGCCAUGCCGCGUGUGUGAAGAAGGCCUUCGGGUUGUAAAGCACUUUCAGUGGGGAAGAAAGCCUUGGGGCUAAUACCCUCGAGGAAGGACAUCACCCACAGAAGAAGCACCGGCUAACUCCGUGCCAGCAGCCGCGGUAAUACGUAGGGUGCGAGCGUUAAUCGGAAUUACUGGGCGUAAAGCGCGCGUAGGCGGUCUGAUAAGCCGGUUGUGAAAGCCCCGGGCUCAACCUGGGAACGGCAUCCGGAACUGUCAGGCUAGAGUGCAGGAGAGGAAGGUAGAAUUCCCGGUGUAGCGGUGAAAUGCGUAGAGAUCGGGAGGAAUACCAGUGGCGAAGGCGGCCUUCUGGACUGACACUGACGCUGAGGUGCGAAAGCGUGGGUAGCAAACAGGAUUAGAUACCCGGGUAGUC